GCGCAGCGCGCGGCAAUGCUGCCGGCUGGGUUCCCUCGCGCACCUUCCGCCGCCCAGACCCCGCCUCCCAACCGCAGUCUCCGCGGACAGAUUCCGGCCACCGCCACGUCUCCCUCGGCCCGGCCGCAGCUGCAGCGGCGACAAGGCGCUGACCCCCGCAGCAUCCUCGCGUCCGGGAGUUGGGGCUAGGCGACUCGGGGCCUCGCUAAAGGGAAGCGAGGGCGGGCGGUCCCUGCUUCCCGUCCAUCGACCCUUCCAUGGUCCCCUCCCUCCUUCCAGCCCGGCCCACCACCCUCGCUCGGCAGGAGCCUCCAGCUCGCAGUCAAGUUCAGGCCGAGCGCGAAGGCUCCGCAGGAAAUGCCGGCAGCCGGUGGCUCAGCCACCAAGGUGGGCCCCGCCCGGACAUGCUGCUCCAGAACUCGAAAAGAAAGCAAGCUGCGCACAGAGAACCCAGGCACCGGCCGCCGGGCUCGGACUGAAGGGGCUGGGGAACUAAACAGAUAUUCCCCUCCCCUCCUCUCCCCUCCCUGGGGAACCCUCCUCCGUUUACCCUCCAUUCCGCGGACCGGGAGCAGUGGGCUGUGCCCCCAUCCGGUCCCAGCCAGAGAACAUGAGACGGUAAAAGGAAACAUUUUUUCUUUUCCUCCGUUAGAAUCAGCAGUUCUCCAGUUUAUCUCCAAUUCUUCCCUUCCUAUACUCACAUGCUACUGCCCAGUCAUGAGAUGGAGUCUAUUUCUGCACACCCUUGAAUCUGGGCUGGCCUGGGACUGCUUUGACCAAUAAAAUACAGAGAAGAAACUGUCUCAACUCCUAGGCUUUUAGAGGCCCGGCAGCUUCCAUGUCCUGCCUCCUUGUAAGAAGUACAACUGCCGAGGCAACUCAGCUGAGAGAAGGCAAGUUUUUGACGUUUGUUGCAGACAGAUGAUCCCUUACACAUAUGUUUUGUAAGGUCUGGUUUGCAUAUUCAAAUUUUUAAGAUGACAGACACCACAUUUUGUUUAUUCCCUCAUCAGGUGAUAGACAUUUAGGUGGUUUCCACUUUGGGGGAAUUAUGAAUAAUGCUGCUGUGUAAACAUUCACGUGCAGGUUUUUGUGUGGACACGUUUUCAUUAUUCUGCAUAUGAGUGAAGUUGCUAGGCCAUAUGGUAGCUACAUACCUUUGAAUCUCUUUUCCUAAAGGAAUACAUUUUUUAAAACUCUGAAUCUGUGACAGAAUUUAGAGGGCCAGACAUCCUUGGAAAAUGCAAGUGAACUUUUUAAAAUACAGCGUGUUGGAGAGGAAUUACAAAUAUAGCAUAACAUGGUUAAAAAGCUCAGGCUGAUCAUGUACAGCAUAAAAUAAAACAGGAAGGAAGCCAGGAAUAUAAAGUGUGUGUGUUAAUAUAAAUGACGUCGUAUACUUAUUCCUGGCUCCCGAUCUGAGCCCAUCUUCCCCUCUCCCCAGGGCAGCUCCGUUCUGCCACCCUGGCCCUCCCCAGGAGACAGCUCAACGGACCACUCUCUCGCCUCGUCAGCUGUCUGAUCACUCAGCAGUGUAUUAGAGGGGCCUUCCUUGAUCACCUACCUAAAAUACCUGUCCCUCACCGUCUAUCCCCUUGCCGAUCCCCACAUU